GAGUUUGAUCAUGGCUCAGGAUGAACGCUAGCGGCAGGCUUAACACAUGCAAGUCGAGGGGCAGCGGGGAGGAAGCUUGCUUUCUCCGCCGGCGACCGGCGCACGGGUGAGUAACACGUAUGCAACCUGCCCCUGUCAGGGGGACAACCCGCCAAAAGGCGGGCUAAACCCGCGUACAUGCCACCGGGGCAUCCCGGAGGCAGGAAAGGCUUCGGCCGGACAGGGAUGGGCAUGCGGCGCAUUAGGCAGUAGGCGGGGUAACGGCCCACCUAACCGACGAUGCGUAGGGGUUCUGAGAGGAAGGUCCCCCACACUGGUACUGAGACACGGACCAGACUCCUACGGGAGGCAGCAGUGAGGAAUAUUGGUCAAUGGUCGGGAGACUGAACCAGCCAAGCCGCGUGAGGGAUGAAGGUACAGAGUAUCGUAAACCUCUUUUGUCAGGGAACAAAGGCGGGGACGUGUCCCCGGAUGAGUGUACCUGAAGAAAAAGCAUCGGCUAACUCCGUGCCAGCAGCCGCGGUAAUACGGAGGAUGCGAGCGUUAUCCGGAUUUAUUGGGUUUAAAGGGUGCGCAGGCGGUCUGUUAAGUCAGCGGUCAAAGCCCGGGGCUCAACCCCGGCCCGCCGUUGAAACUGGCAGUCUCGAGUUGGAGAGAAGUAUGCGGAAUGCGCGGUGUAGCGGUGAAAUGCAUAGAUAUCGCGCAGAACUCCGAUUGCGAAGGCAGCAUGCCGGCUCCACACUGACGCUGAGGCACGAAAGCGUGGGUAUCGAACAGGAUUAGAUACCCUGGUAGUCCACGCAGUAAACGAUGAAUGCUGGCUGUCCGGGGGGGAUUGACCCCUGGGUGGCGAAGCGAAAGCGAUAAGCAUUCCACCUGGGGAGUACGCCGGCAACGGUGAAACUCAAAGGAAUUGACGGGGGCCCGCACAAGCGGAGGAACAUGUGGUUUAAUUCGAUGAUACGCGAGGAACCUUACCCGGGCUCAAACGGGGAGUGACUCAGGCAGAGACGCCUGUUUCCCACGGGACACUCCCCGAGGUGCUGCAUGGUUGUCGUCAGCUCGUGCCGUGAGGUGUCGGCUUAAGUGCCAUAACGAGCGCAACCCCCGCGUGCAGUGUAACAGAUAACGCUGAGGACUCUGCACGGACUGCCGGCGCAAGCCGCGNGAAGGCGGGGAGACGUCAAAUCAGCACGGCCCUUACGUCCGGGGCGACACACGUGUUACAAUGGGUGGUACAGCGGGAAGCCAGGCGGCGACGCCGAGCGGAACCCGAAAUCCACUCUCAGUUCGGAUCGGAGUCUGCAACCCGACUCCGUGAAGCUGGAUUCGCUAGUAAUCGCGCAUCAGCCAUGGCGCGGUGAAUACGUUCCCGGGCCUUGUACACACCGCCCGUCAAGCCAUGGGAGCCGAGGGCGCUUGAAGUGCGUCGCCGCGAGGCGCGCCCUAGAGCGAAAUCGGUGACUGGGGCUAAGUCGUAACAAGGU
rnacentral:rRNA from 1 species